GAGGUAGAGGGAUGAACAGUCUGGGUUUAUUAAGCCCCAACCCAAGUGUUUCAUCACAAUCUAAUAUACCUAGUAACUAGUGUACUGGUUCUUAAAAAUUUUCCCCUGGUGUUAGCUUUCACCAUUUGUAUAUUUUAUGUGUCUGCAUGUUGGACUCAACCAGACAUUAUCCUUACUUUCAGCUUCCCUUGCUAAGAAACAGGCUGCAGCCUCUUUGAAUUAGGAAGAGAGAAGUGCAGAAUGUGCCUGUGCUCAUCACAGAGUUAGAAACAAGAAUGUUAACUCUUCUCUGAGUUUCUUAAGAUACGGAAAUACUCCAGGGGAUAGCAGAGCAAUUGAAGGAUCAUGUGGAGGUGUCCAUCGGUGGCUCCGUCAUCGGGCGUGUGCAUGACUGUACUUCCCUCUGCCGCAGACACCUCAGCCACCGUCUAGCCAGGCGAACCUGUUUGGUGUGCUCACUGCGUGAUGAAGCCCAUAGGCCAUGAAUGACACAUCGUGACUCAUGGAUGCCCCGGCUCUUUGCAUCCUGCACACAGACACAUGACGGACACUUGAUGAGACUCCUUGAUACAAAAAGCGUAUACUUUUUAGUUUUACAAGGAAGGAUUCUCUCCAAGGAAAAGUUCAAGUGGAUUUUUGGCUACCCAGCAAAUUAUUCUAACAGCCAACUCUGUGAAAUACUGUAUCUAUGAAGAAAAUGAGACCUAGAGAAGUCAAGGACCUCGCCCAGGAUCCCUUGCCUGUAAGGAUGAAGCCAGGAUUCAAAUUCAGACAGCCCGGGUCCCAGAGCCAGCAUGCUUUUAACCUCAUUCACCUCUCUUCCAGGUAUUCAGAGCUCAUACUUUUUAAAACAGAAUUAUCCUUAGGAUAAGAAUGGUCCAGUUUACUACAACCCAUGGUGUCAGCUGUACUGUGUAGACUCCAUCAAGAAAUAAUGCAUGUGGGGUGGGUGCUUGGAGCAGGGGAAAACACCACUCUCUGAAGUAAGGCCUGGUUAAAAUUACAGCGUUGGCCCAAAUCCUACACUCAGAUCACUGCAGGACCUGGAUGGUACUGAAUCCCAACCUAUAGUCGAUUCUAGUCCUAAAACUGAUGUUGUUCCCAUUUGAUGUCUUGGAAACAAACCAGUGUUGGGGCACUUUCAAGUGGUUUCUAUAAUGAGCAUUAGUAAACCCACAGGUGUGCCUAAAUGAGGAUUCGUGAAGCUGAGCAUACUUUCCCAACCCUAUAUUUCAGAAAAGUUGGCUCCCUUUUAUGUACAAAAUGAGAUAGAAUUAGAUGUACUAGUCCAAAUGAAGAGAAAUAGGUUCUCUUUCAUAUUUGUAAGACUCUAAAAGGUGUACAUAACAAUAAGUUAUUCAAAACAGCAACUUCUCAAACCCUGCCCUUUUCCAUAAAUUUCUUUAAACAGUCAGAAAAUUCACAAUUUAAUAAAAAUAAAGACCCUUGGAAAGGCUAGUCA
rnacentral:lncRNA from 13 species